rnacentral:rRNA from 1 species
CCUACGGGCGGCAGCAGUGGGGGAUAUUGCACAAUGGGGGGAACCCUGAUGCAGCGACGCCGCGUGUGGGAAGACGGUCCUCUGGAUUGUAAACCACUGUCCCCAGGGACGAAAAUGACGGUACCUGGGGAGGAAGCUCCGGCUAACUACGUGCCAGCAGCCGCGGUAAUACGUAGGGAGCGAGCGUUGUCCGGAAUUACUGGGUGUAAAGGGAGCGUGGGCGGGGAUGCAAGUUGGGGGUCAAAACUACCGGCUCAACUGGUAGUCACACGCAAAACUGCAGCUCUUGAGUGAAGUAGAGGCAGGCGGAAUUCCUAGUGUAGCGGUGAAAUGCGUAGAUAUUAGGAGGAACACCAGUGGCGAAGGCGGCCUGCUGGGCUUUUACUGACGCUGAGGCUCGAAAGUGUGGGGAGCAAACAGGAUUAGAUACCCUGGUAGUC